rnacentral:rRNA from 1 species
CGCGUAGGCGGAUUAAUAAGUCAGUGGUGAAAACCUGCAGCUUAACUGUAGAACUGCCAUUGAUACUGUUAGUCUUGAGUACGGUCAAGGUAGGCGGAAUGUGUAAUGUAGCGGUGAAAUGCUUAGAUAUUACACAGAACACCGAUUGCGAAGGCAGCUUACUGGACCAUUACUAACGCUGAGGCACGAAAGCGCGGGGAGCGAACAGGAUUAGAUACCCUGGUAGUCC